UCCGGUUGAUCCUGCCGGACCCCACUGCUAUCGGGAUAGGACUAAGACAUGCUAGUUGAGCGCUUCCAGCCAACACGGGAGCGCAGCGCACAGCUCAGUAACACGUGGCUAAUCUGCCCUUGGGACCGGAACACCCCCGGGAAACUGGGGCUAAUUCUCGAUAGGUGGAGAACUCUGGAAUGAGUCUUUGCCAAAAAGACGUUUACGUUAUGCUCGUAGGCGUCGCCCAAGGAUGAGGCCGCGACCGAUCAGGUUGUUGGUGAGGUAAUGGCUCACCAAGCCUUUUACCGGUGCGGGCCGUGAGAGCGGGAGCCCGGAGAUGGGCACUGAGACAAGGGCCCAGGCCCUACGGGGCGCAGCAGUCGCGAAAACUUUGCAAUACACGAAAGUGUGACAGGGCUAUCCCGAGUGCCAUCCGCUGAGGAAGGCUUUUACCCAGUCUAGAACGCUGGGGGAAUAAGGAGAGGGCAAGUCUGGUGUCAGCCGCCGCGGUAAUACCAGCUCUCCGAGUGGUGUGGAUGUUUAUUGGGCCUAAAGCAUCCGUAGCUGGCUAAGUUAGUCCCCUGUUAAAUCCACCGAAUUAAUCGUUGGAUUGCGGGGGAUACUGCUUGGCUAGGGGACGAGAGAGGCAGACGGUAUUUCCGGGGUAGGGGUGAAAUCCUAUAAUCCCGGGAAGACCACCAGUGGCGAAGGCUGUCUGCUAGAACGCGCCCGACGGUGAGGGAUGAAAGCUGGGGGAGCGAACCGGAUUAGAUACCCGGGUAGUCCCAGCUGUAAACGAUGCAGGCUAGGUGUUUGGACGGCCACGUGCCGUUCUAGUGCCGCAGGGAAGCUGUUAAGCCUGCCGCCUGGGGAGUACGAUCGCAAGAUUGAAACUUAAAGGAAU
rnacentral:rRNA from 1 species